AUUGAACGCUGGCGGCAUGCUUUACACAUGCAAGUCGAACGGCAGCGCGGGCUUCUGCCUGGCGGCGAGUGGCGAACGGGUGAGUAAUGCAUCGGAACGUGCCCAGUAGUGGGGGAUAGCCCGGCGAAAGCCGGAUUAAUACCGCAUACGACCUGAGGGUGAAAGCGGGGGACCGAAAGGCCUCGCGCUAUUGGAGCGGCCGAUGUCGGAUUAGCUAGUUGGUGGGGUAAAGGCUUACCAAGGCGACGAUCCGUAGCUGGUCUGAGAGGACGACCAGCCACACUGGGACUGAGACACGGCCCAGACUCCUACGGGAGGCAGCAGUGGGGAAUUUUGGACAAUGGGGGCAACCCUGAUCCAGCCAUGCCGCGUGCGGGAAGAAGGCCUUCGGGUUGUAAACCGCUUUUGUUCGGGAAGAAAUCCUCUGGGCUAAUACCCCGGGGGGAUGACGGUACCGGAAGAAUAAGCACCGGCUAACUACGUG
rnacentral:rRNA from 1 species